CUUGCUUUCUUUGCUGGCGACCGGCGCACGGGUGAGUAACACGUAUCCAACCUGCCCUUUACUCGGGGAUAGCCUUUCGAAAGAAAGGUUAAUACCCGAUAGCAUAAUGAUUCCGCAUGGUUUCAUUAUUAAAGGAUUCCGGUAAAGGAUGGGGAUGCGUUCCAUUAGGUUGUUGGUGGGGUAACGGCCCACCAAGCCUUCGAUGGAUAGGGGUUCUGAGAGGAAGGUCCCCCACAUUGGAACUGAGACACGGUCCAA
rnacentral:rRNA from 1 species